rnacentral:rRNA from 1 species
UACGUAGGGGGCUAGCGUUGUCCGGAAUCAUUGGGCGUAAAGCGCGUGUAGGCGGUCCGGGUAAGUCCGCUGUGAAAGCCAGGGGCUCAACCCUUGGAUGCCGGUGGAUACUGUCGGGCUUGAGUACGGAAGAGGCGAGUGGAAUUCCUGGUGUAGCGGUGAAAUGCGCAGAUAUCAGGAGGAACACCAAUUGCGAAGGCAGCUCGCUGGGACGUUACUGACGCUGAGACGCGGAAAGCGUGGGGAGCAAACAGG